GAUGAAGAACGCAGUGAAAUGCGAUAAGUAAUGUGAAUUGCAGAAUUCAGUGAAUCAUCGAAUCUUUGAACGCACAUUGCGCCCGCCAGUAUUCUGGCGGGCAUGCCUGUUCGAGCGUCAUUUCAACCAUCAAACCCCCGGCUUGUGUUGGGGACCUGCGGCUGCCGCAGGCCCUGAAAAGCAGUGGCGGGCUCGCUGUCACACCGAGCGUAGUAGCAUACAUCUCGCUCUGGGCGUGCUGCGGGUUCCGGCCGUUAAACCACCUUCAUAACCCAAGGUUGACCUCGGAUCAGGUAGGAAGACCCGCUGAACUUAAGCAUAUCAAUAAGCGGAGGA
rnacentral:misc_RNA from 1 species